UACGUAGGGGGCAAGCGUUGUUCGGAAUUACUGGGCGUAAAGGGCGCGUAGGCGGCAUGGCAAGUCAGGAGUGAAAGGCCUGGGCUCAACCGAGGAACUGCUUUUGAUACUGCCAAGCUAGAGUGCGGAAGGGGCAACUGGAAUUCCCAGUGUAGCGGUGAAAUGCGCAGAUAUCAGGAGGAACACCGGUGGCGAAGGCGGGUCUCUGGGCCGAUACUGACGCUGAGGAGCGAAAGCGUGGGGAGCGAACAGG
rnacentral:rRNA from 1 species